rnacentral:rRNA from 1 species
GGUUGCGGCCAUAUCUACCAGAAAGCACCGUUUCCCGUCCGAUCAACUGUAGUUAAGCUGGUAAGAGCCUGACCGAGUAGUGUAGUGGGUGAC